CAGUUGGAAACGACUGCUAAUACCGCAUACGAUCUGACCUCGGCAUCGAGGAUAGAUGAAAGGUGGCCUCUAUUUAUAAGCUAUCACUGAAGGAGGGGAUUGCGUCUGAUUAGCUAGUUGGAGGGGUAACGGCCCACCAAGGCGAUGAUCAGUAGCCGGUCUGAGAGGAUGAACGGCCACAUUGGGACUGAGACACGGCCCAGACUCCUACGGGAGGCAGCAUG
rnacentral:rRNA from 1 species